rnacentral:rRNA from 1 species
AUUGAACGCUGGCGGAAUGCUUUACACAUGCAAGUCGAGCGAUGAAGUUUCCUUCGGGAAAUGGAUUAGCGGCGGACGGGUGAGUAACACGUGGGUAACCUGCCUCAUAGAGGGGAAUAGCCUCCCGAAAGGAAGAUUAAUACCGCAUAAUAUUACUGUUUCGCAUGAAACAGUAAUUAAAGGAGUAAUCCGCUAUGAGAUGGACCCGCGGCGCAUUAGCUAGUUGGUGAGGUAACGGCUCACCAAGGCGACGAUGCGUAGCCGACCUGAGAGGGUGAUCGGCCACAUUGGGACUGAGACACGGCCCAGACUCCUACGGGAGGCAGCAGUGGGGAAUAUUGCACAAUGGGGGAAACCCUGAUGCAGCAACGCCGCGUGAGUGAUGACGGUCUUCGGAUUGUAAAGCUCUGUCUUUGGGGACGAUAAUGACGGUACCCAAGGAGGAAGCCACGGCUAACUACGUGCCAGCCGCCGCGGUAACAC